CCUUACCUGGCCUUGACAUACUAAGAACUUUCCAGAGAUGGAUUGGUGCCUUCGGGAACUUAGAUACAGGUGCUGCAUGGCUGUCGUCAGCUCGUGUCGUGAGAUGUUGGUUAAGUCCCGCAACGAGCGCAACCCUUUUCCUUAUUUGCCAGCGGGUUAAGCCGGGAACUUUAAGGAUACUGCCAGUGACAAACUGGAGGAAGGCGGGGACGACGUCAAGUCAUCAUGGCCCUUACGGCCAGGGCUACACACGUGCUACAAUGGUCGGUACAAAGGGUUGCUACCUCGCGAGAGGAUGCUAAUCUCAAAAAGCCGAUCGUAGUCCGGAUCGCAGUCUGCAACUCGACUGCGUGAAGUCGGAAUCGCUAGUAAUCGCGGAUCAGAAUGCCGCGGUGAAUACGUUCCCGGGCCUUGUACACACCGCCCGUCACACCAUGGGAGUUUGUUGCACCAGAAGUAGGUAGUCUAACCGCAAGGAGGACGCUUACCACGGUGUGGCCGAUGACUGGGGUGAAGUCGUAACAAGGUAGGCGUAGAUGA
rnacentral:rRNA from 1 species